AUUGAACGCUGGCGGCAGGCCUAACACAUGCAAGUCGAGCGAGCGGCGGGCGGGUGAGUACUGUAUGGGCAUCUUCCCGAUGGAUGGGUAUAACUACUGGAAACGGUUGCUAAUACCGCAUACUAUCGGCUGAACCCAUAUGGGAUUAGCUAGUAGGUGGGGUAAAGGCUCACCUAGGCGACGAUCUCUAGCUGGUCUGAGAGGAUGAUCAGCCACACUGGGACUGAGACACGGCCCAGACUCCUACGGGAGGCAGCAGUGGGGAAUAUUGGACAAUGGGCGAAAGCCUGAUGCAGCCAUGCCGCGUGUAUGAAGAAGGCCUUAGGGUUGUAAAGCACUUUUAGCGGGGAGGCGUUACCCGCAGAAGAAGCACCGGCUAACUCCGUGCCAGCAGCCGCGGUAAUAC
rnacentral:rRNA from 1 species